rnacentral:rRNA from 1 species
AUUGAACGCUGGCGGCAGGCCUAACACAUGCAAGUCGAACGGUAACAGGAAACAGCUUGCUGUUUCGCUGACGAGUGGCGGACGGGUGAGUAAUGUCUGGGAAACUGCCUGAUGGAGGGGGAUAACUACUGGAAACGGUAGCUAAUACCGCAUAACGUCGCAAGACCAAAGAGGGGGACCCUCGGGCCUCUUGCCAUCGGAUGUGCCCAGAUGGGAUUAGCUUGUUGGUGGGGUAACGGCUCACCAAGGCGACGAUCCCUAGCUGGUCUGAGAGGAUGACCAGCCACACUGGAACUGAGACACGGUCCAGACUCCUACGGGAGGCAGCAGUGGGGAAUAUUGCACAAUGGGCGCAAGCCUGACGCAGCCAUGCCGCGUGUAUGAAGAAGGCCUCGGGUUGUAAAGGUACUUUCAGCGGGGAGGAAGGGAGUAAAG